UGCGAGUUAAUGUACUGGCAGCAUCCGAGACUCAUGAUUUCGAAGAGAUUGUUCGAAUCAAUCACUCGCAU